AAAUGACUCUCGGCAACGGAUAUCCUGGCUCUCGCAUCGAUGAAGAACGUAGCGAAAUGCGAUACUUGGUGUGAAUUGCAGAAUCCCGUGAACCAUCGAGUCUUUGAACGCAAGUUGCGCCCGAAGCCAUUAGGCUGAGGGCACGUCUGCCUGGGUGUCACGC
rnacentral:rRNA from 1 species